rnacentral:rRNA from 2 species
CAUGGUUGUCGUCAGCUCGUGUCGUGAGAUGUUGGGUUAAGUCCCGCAACGAGCGCAACCCUUGUCUUUAGUUGCCAUCAUUAAGUUGGGCACUCUAAAGAGACUGCCGAUGACAAAUCGGAGGAAGGUGGGGAUGACGUCAAAUCAUCAUGCCCUUUAUGUCCUGGGCUACACACGUGCUACAAUGGUCGGUACAACGAGAAGCAAGCCAGCGAUGGCAAGCAAAUCUCUAAAAGCCGAUCCCAGUUCGGAUUGCAGGCUGCAACUCGCCUGCAUGAAGUCGGAGUUGCUAGUAAUCGCGGAUCAGAAUGCCGCGGUGAAUGCGUUCCCGGGUCUU